AAAGUCGUAACAAGGUUUCCGUAGGUGAACCUGCGGAAGGAUCAUUACAGAAUAAACUUGAUAGGUUGUUGCUGGCCUUCAAAUAGGCAUGUGCACACUUGUCAUUUUUGUCUUUCCACCAUGUGCACUAUGCAUAGGAACAAACACAAUUUGAUCAAGGGCAACUUUGGUCGCUGGAAAAUGCUGUUAGUUAUUUAAUGGCUUUUUCUGAGAUUGUUCCUAUGAUUUUAUAAAUACACCUGUUAAUGUAAUUGAACGAUAUAUUGGACUUUUAAAGCCCUAUAAACAUUAUACAACUUUCAGCAACGGAUCUCUUGGCUCUC
rnacentral:misc_RNA from 1 species